ACAAAAGUCAGAGUGCGGAUUUGUUGCACUUUUGGCAAAGUGAGCAGGGGAACACGCUAUUUUCCAAAUCUGCUCCUUGACCAGGAACUUUCAAGAGCAGUGUUAGGCUUCCCCCAGUUUUUCUGUGUGGGAGGAUAGAGCUUGUUUUCCUGGGUGCUCCUGUACAGAUACAGAACUCAACUUUUAAAUCUGCUUUUGUGCGAGAACAUGGACUCAUCUCUCUUCCAAUGUGGUUUCUUGGCAGUCGUUGCUGAGGGAAUGGCUCCGCCACAGAGGAUCCUCUUUCCCCCAGAGAAGAUUUGCAUGACCUGGCAGCACAGCCAGAGAGCUGGAGCGGGACUGCACAACCUGGGCAACACGUGCUUCCUCAACUCCGUCCUGCAGUGCCUGACCUACACCCCGCCUCUGGCCAACCACCUGCUCUCUGGGGAGCACAGCCGGGCCUGUGGCCAGAAAGGCUUCUGCGUCAUGUGCAGGAUGGAAGUGCACGUUCAACAGGUCCUGCAUUCCUCAGCCAGUGCCAUCGAGCCUUGGGCUGUCGUCGAUUUUCUCACAGGUGAGUCAGUGCAGGUGCUGUGACAUGAUUGAUGCCGUUCUUGUAGGAGAGAACUAGUAACUUCUUCUUUCUUAGAAAUAGGAGAAAAUUUCCAGCAUGGCAGGCAGGAGGACGCCCACGAGUUCUUACGAUGCACCAUGGAUGCCAUGCAGAGAGCUUGUCUGAGAGGAAACAGCGAGUAAGCGCAAGCAAAUUGUGUUUCCAGCAUUCCCAAGCCCUUUGGAGUCCUUGAUGUCCUCCCCUCAAGGAAAACUAUGCCCAGGGCUUUCAGACAAAGCCAGGCUCUGGGAGGAGAUAACUCUGCCUUCCCAUUGGUUUGCAGCUUGGACAUGUCCUCUCAAGCAACCACCAUCGUCCAUCAGAUCUUUGGGGGCUUUCUGAGAUCCAGAGGUACUUUUCCACUGCUAUUGCUCUCCUUGGAAUCGUCUGUGCCCUCCUGUCUGCCUGCGACAACAGCCGAUGGUGUGAUUGGCGCAGUGGGUGUGAGAGGGUAACCCGGCACAGUCUGUCGACUUCCCCUGUCACUGAGCAUUUCCAUUUGCCUUCCAGUCACAUGCUGGAGCUGCCAAGCGGUUUCCGAUUCCUACGAGGCCUUCCUGGAUGUUCCUCUGGAUAUCAAAGCAGCCGCAUCUGUCACCGCAGCUCUGGAAGACUUUGUGAAACCGGAGCACCUGGAUGGUGAAAACUGCUUUAAAUGUAGCAAGUAAGGCCAUUAUUGAUGAUGUAUUCAUACUGGAUCCUGUGCGAAGGUGUCAUUGAGCAGAAGUCAGCUUUUCACAUUGAAUUAAGGCACAGUAAUGAGACGCAGGUUUUUUAACAUGGCAUUAUGGUACUGAAUAGCCUUAAAAGAGCAGAGGGAUGUGUGAGACAGGAAAGUCUGUCUGGCCUUUGGGGGAAAAAACGGUGCGUUUUAGCCCUUGGCUCUGUCCUGGCUUUCAAGGUGUGACAAGGUGACUGCCGCCUCCAAGAGGUUCACGGUCCAUCGCGCGCCCAAGGUUCUCACGGUCUGUCUGAAGAGGUUUGAAGCUUU